CGUUGCUUUGUUAAUGGUUUGACAAUUAUUUAUAUGACAUAUGGAAAUAAGAAUUAUUUAUUUAGAUGGGGAUUGAUACAUAAACAUAGAGUAGCCUUGUUUAACAAAUAGUCUGAUGUCUGUAGGCAAUCAUAUCCCCUAUAGCACAAGCUAAUUUGUAAUGUUUCUUAGAUCUACUGAUCAGUAAGCUCGUUAGUUCUUAAAAUAUAAGCUAUUGCUGGUUCUGCUCUAUCAUAGCUUAGUCGUGUUUUAAAACAAAGUCCAUGGCCAAAAGUGUGUGUCACGGCUGUAGGCUACGGCUGUAAUUGAUUGCAGUACAUUAACAGUAGGAUUUCAACAGUAUUAACCAGUUAUUUUUAAAUACAGCGUUUACUGUUAAUACAAAAGAAAAUCUGUAAAAUUGCGCUCUAUUGACCGUUUUUAACAGAACUAUAAUGUAUUCCUAAAAUACAGCACGGUAUCAUGCAGUAUUUUUUGUAUUUUUUGCAUUUUGGGAAGAGCAAUUCCACGUGGACUGCACAUGUGAAGCUGGAUCCUUUCUUUUCUUAAUCCAUCCCCAUCUUACUAAUUAUUUGGUGAAACGACAGGAAGCUGUUUCCGCGCUGGAUGGUCAGCCUUGAGGGCCACAUCAUAUGUGAGGGGAUCCAGCCCACCUUCUUGACCUGGCUUGCUGCAUUAUUUUCCAGCUUCUACACCUUUAAUCUCCAAUACCAAGAAGAGGCAGCAUGCACACUCAAAUUCAUCCAAAGGCACUUCGUUGGAAUAAACUCUGAGAGAGGCACCAAGGCUGGACGGGGUAAAGUGUUAUCAAAGAAAACUGACGAAGUCACCAACAAAAAGACAACAACAGUCAAUCCACAUGUAUCCGCUGCUCAGGAGACUCAUCGACUUUGAGUGGGACUGCAUUUAAAAUG